rfam:Fusarium langsethiae strain Fl201059 Fl201059_contig2, whole genome shotgun sequence.
GUCGGUGUGGCUCAGUUGGUUAGAGCGUUGGUCUCAUAGUACAUCUGUUUUCAGUUUGACAUGACUUGAUUAAACAUCAGGGCCAUCCAAAGGUCGAGAGUUCGAGCCUCUCCACCGACA